rnacentral:rRNA from 1 species
GAUGAACGCUGGCGGCGUGCCUAAUACAUGCAAGUCGAGCGGACAGACGAUAAUCUUGCUUCGCGCAUGUUUGGCGAGGACGUGUGAGUAACGCGUGGAUAACCUCCUUGUAAGACUGGGAUAACUUCGGGAAACCGGAGCUAAUACGGUAUGAUAUUUUGCACCACAUGGUGCAAAGGUAAAAUACGGUGUUGCUGUCUCGUCUAGAUGGAUCCCCGCUGCAUUAGCUAGUUGGUAAGGUAACGGGUUACGAAGGCAACGAUGCCUAGCCGACCUCAUAGGGGGGUCGGCCACCCGGGAACUGAGACAGCGUCCAGACUCCUACGGGAGGCCGCAGUAGGGAAUCUUACGCAAUGGGCGAAAGCCUUACAGAGCAACGCGGAGCGAGAGAUGACGGUGUUCCGAUCGUAAAACUCGGUUAUGAGUGAAGAACAGAUGUGUAAUUAGCUGUGCAGAUAGUGACGGUACCUGAUCAGAAAGCCACGGCUAACUACGUG